rnacentral:rRNA from 1 species
AGAGCGAACGCUGGCGGCAGGCCUAAUACAUGCAAGUCGAACGGACCCUUCGGGGUUAGUGGCGGACGGGUGAGUAACACGUGGGAACGUGCCCUUUGGUUCGGAACAACUCAGGGAAACUUGGGCUAAUACCGAAUGUGCCCUUCGGGGGAAAGAUUUAUCGCCAUUGGAGCGGCCCGCGUCUGAUUAGCUAGUUGGUGAGGUAAAGGCUCACCAAGGCUACGAUCAGUAGCUGGUCUGAGAGGAUGAUCAGCCACACUGGGACUGAGACACGGCCCAGACUCCUACGGGAGGCAGCAGUAGGGAAUCUUGCGCAAUGGGCGAAAGCCUGACGCAGCCAUGCCGCGUGAAUGAUGAAGGUCUUAGGAUUGUAAAAUUCUUUCAGCGGGGACGAUAAUGACGGUACCCGCAGAAGAAGCCCCGGCUAACUUCGCGCCAGCAGCCGC